CUAAACAAGCUCUUAGAAUUAGAUUAUAAGAUUGCAUGAAGCUUUAUGUGAAUGUUCCCAACAACACCCAAUACUCCUCAUAAGCUCGGGAGUGUAAAAGUGUAUGAAUAAGAUUUACACUAAAUUCAUUCAAUAGAGAUCAAUUUAAUGCUUGUUACUUGUUCAAUUUCACAAAACAAUUAUGGAUUUUGUAAAAGAGAUAACUUGAAUGACCUAACCCUAAUUCAAAUGGCCAAUAAGAAUCACAAUUAGAAUCAAACAUUCGAUUGAAGCAAAAUCAAAUUCAUUAGAUAGAAAUUAAGAACAAACAUCAAGUCAUAUGAUUAGAUUCACAACUAGAAAGUCAAAACAUGAGUUGGAGAAAUUAGGGUUCUAGCCACACAUGGCUAGAACAAGAUCACAAGUCUAAAAGAUGAAAUUAAGUGUAAUUACAGCUUACAAAAACAAGAAUUAAUGUUUCCAAAUGAUUGACGGGCAAACCCUUGCAAAAACCUUCGAAUUCUCCUCUCCAAUGGUGCUCUGAUAUGUUGUGUGUGUGUAAAAAUGGCUCUUAACCCGUAAUACGAAAGAUAGGAAAAAUUGUCAAAAGUUGGUUUUUGGGUCGAACACGACCCGUGUUAAAAUAGGCUAAACUGACACGGGUCGUGUUCAACAACACGCCCCGUGUUGAUUUGCACUAAACUGACACGCCCUUGUUCAACAUGGUCAACAACUCCCAUUUUGGUCAAACACGCCCCGUGCCCACUUUUUAGUGUAAAUUCAACACACCCCGUGUACCUCUCUAAAUCCAAUUCCAAACUUGAUUUUUCCAACUUUUUCGUUCUUCGCCCGAUCAUCCUGAAAUCUUCGCCAAUGCUUCCCGACACUUCCCAAAGCGUGCUCCAACCUCCGGUUCACCUAAAAAGGGCAUGAAAAUGGUGCAAAUAAGGUUGUUCACGAAGUUAACACAGAUAUGAUGAAAUGCAAUAAAAGUAAAGAACAAUUAUUCUAAAAACAUAAAUAAAAAGGGCUAAAAGUUGUGCAAAAAUGGUGCACAAAAUGCAUCUAACAAAUCUCCCCAAGCUUAGACCUUUCUUGUCCUCAAGAAAAAACAAGAAACAGACAAAACAGGACGAUUUCUAGAUGACAAAAAGAAACUUAGAACAAAAAGGGACGGAAAGGAUCCUAAAGGUUAAGAAUGAAUGCAUGCAAUGUAAUGCCAUGAAAAUUUAAGGUAUGUACAAAAUGCACUUGAGAAACAAAAUGAAGCAAAAGAAAAGAAGAUUAAGAACAAACACAAAAUAUGUAUUUUUGUAACUAAAUAAAGGUACGAUCAGACUUUACAUCAAUAAGGCUUCGAUCAUUGAUACCUUGGCAACCAUCCUGUUUCCUUCCACAUAUCACAGACUCUCAAUGUGAGGAAGACCCGAAACGGUGUAACCCAAUAAUCCAACCAAAGUUUUAUUUAAUCUUUAUACCUUACUAAGCUUUAUGGGCGAAAAUAACAGAGUCCGGAUCUCAUGUCCUUAAGACUAGAUGGCCAAGAAUCAGAAUCGACGCAUCCUUAAGAACCCGUCAUGGCGAAUCAGCUUUCGCUGAAACAGUAAGCCCACCCGAAGGGGCCCAGCUCCUAUGCUUUCACUUUUUCGAGAGCCACAAGUAUCAUAUCACACAGUUCUUCAUUCGCCAGAUUUGACUUGAAUUGGCUUUUGAUUUGAUUGAACUUUGAUUUGUACUUCGUUUUGAAUUUGGAUUCUUCAAUCUUCAUUUUUGGAAUUUCUUUAGAUUUCUUCGUUUUCGCAUUUGAAAUUCUGAUUUAGGUACUAGAUAUGACAGUUGUACCCUUCCUUCUUUCUUGACUGUGUGGAUCUGAUACUUAAGCUCUCUGUUACCGCGGGGGUAACGCGUGUCAACAAAUAGGUCCGUGUUCUGUGGGUUCAGAGUUGCCGAUAAAGAUUCUUUUUAAACAUUCAAAAGCAAAUCAUCCUAAAGCUGUUAUUACCGCCCAAAAAACGUUUCAAUAUAAAUUCUUUUUAUUAUCUAAGGCUAGGGUCUCGAAUUACGAUGUUUGGGUCCCCUAGUUAUGACAGCUGAUUCUAUGCUUCCGGUAACAAUCUGGUCGCUUCAGUAUUUUUUUUUUCAUUUUGAUUUUUCGUUUUUCCACUUUAAGGAGCACUUGUAUGUAAAGAGUGUCAUCAUCCCGUACAUUUUUUUGUUUGUUUGUUUUUUUGUUUUUUUUGUUUUUUUAUUUUUUUGUUUUUUUGUUUUUUUGUUUUUUUUUUUUUUUGAAAAUGCAUGCAUGAAUAUGAAAUGAAAAAAUUGGUAAAAUGCAAAAACUUGAAAUAUAAACUUUUUUUUUUUGAAAAUGCAUGAAUGAACAUGAAUGAACCUAGUGUACAACUCUACCCCUCCCCAAGCUUGAAUAUAAGCAUCGUCCCCGAUGCUUGGAGAGGGCGGAACAACCUAUCUAAUCACUGGAAGGUGGUGAGGGAUGGUAGUCGAGUUGGGUAAGAGUCUAAAACAGUCACAAGUGCACACAUUGAAUUUUAAAGCAAAAUAUGAAUGAUUAAAGAUAUGGAAAGAAUUUACCAAAUCGUUCUUGGAGCCUUGUAGUUGGUGGGAACCUCCUCUUCAUCCUCCCCAAGCUAUCCGUGAAGUAUUUUUGGAGCCGGAGAUUCAUUUUCUAGGCAUAAAAAUAAGUUAAAACCAUUUGGGACAUAAAAAAAUGAAAUUUACCAAAGACUAAAAAGUUUUAAAAGAAAGGAAACAAAUNAUCUCCCUACAAGGUCCAUGGUGGUGAAAACUGCAUUUAAUGCAUUUUGGGAGAUUUCCAUCAUAAAGCCUGGCUGGUUUAGGGACCAUUGGGAUGCCUGAAGGGAUGGUGGUUGGAGGUGCUGAUGUUGUGGCUGUGAAGGUUGUUACUGGUGGUUGNUUUUUUUUUAAAGCACCUGCUCACAAAAUGCUUGGCACAAACAAUUAGUAACACCGUGUCCCCGACAACGACGCCAAUUUGUUAAGGGUGUCAAACCCAACAAAUAAAGGGGCACGAUAUACUCCAAAAUAAUCCCACUAUAUUGCACUAAAAGGUAGUACAAGGCAAGCAGGGUCGAUCCACAGAGACACGGGAUAAUUAGUCUAUACCUCUUUGCGCAAGGUACUAUGGUCACCAACAGUAAAGAGGGGGGGGGGUUAGAAUAAAAUAAUUAAAACAAACACUAAAAAACACAAGUAAUCAACUAAGAAGGUGAAUUAAAUCUAGAAAAGGUAAGGACUCCAACCUCAUGUAUGACAACNCGACCCCAACCUCAUGUAUGACAACUUAGCAAUGUGAUUCCAAAAUAACAUGAUAUUUGUUUAAUUCUAUCUAAGUUGGUACUUGAAAGUGUUAACAAGCUCUAACACUUCCCAUUCACCACAUUAAUUAACCAAAACAAGCUCUUUGAUUAACCCUAACCUUAAUAACCUAAUCUAAACAAGCUCUUAGAAUUAGAUUAUAAAAUUGCAUGAAGCUUUAUGUGAAUGUUCCCAACAAUAUGCAAUACUCCUCAUAAGCUCGGGAGUGUAAAAGUGUAUGAAUAAGAUUUACACUAAAUUCAUUCAAUAGAGAUCAAUUUAAUGCUUGUUACUUGUUCAAUUUCACAAAACAAUUAUGGAUUUUGUAAAAGAGAUAACUUGAAUGACCUAACCCUAAUUCAAAUGGCCAAUAAGAAUCACAAUUAGAAUCAAACAUUCGAUUGAAGCAAAAUCAAAUUCAUUAGAUAGAAAUUAAGAACAAACAUCAUGUCAUAUGAUUGAAGUCACUACCAAGAAGUCAAAACAUGAAAUUGGAGAAACUAGGGUUCUAGCCACACAUGGCUAGAACAAGAUCACAAGACUAAAAGAUGAAAUUAAGUGUAAUUACAACUUACAAAAACA
rnacentral:lncRNA from 1 species